UACAGAGGUCCCAAGCGUUGUUCGGAUUCACUGGGCGUAAAGGGUGCGUAGGCGGUCGGGUAAGUCUGACGUGAAAUCUUCAAGCUCAACUUGGAAACUGCGUCCGAUACUAUUCGGCUAGAGGAAUGGAGGGGAGACUGGAAUACUUGGUGUAGCAGCGAAAUUCGUAGAUAUUCGCAAGAACACCAGUGGCGAAGGCGGCUCACUGGCCCGGUACUGACGCUGAGGUGCGAAAGCGUGGGGAGCAAACAGG
rnacentral:rRNA from 1 species